AGUAUAGUACUUAGAUUGUGGUCACAAACAAACACUAAUGCAUCUUUGAAGAGGGGCAAACUGGUUUUAAGGUACCACUACCUCGUACAGUUUAAUGCAUGUAGCCUGCCAACAGACUGCAGAUGCAAAUUAGCUUUAAGCUAAAACUGAUACAAUGCAUCAAAUGGCAACAUUUAUGUUAAUAUUGUAGAUGGUCCCUUUUCCAGAAAAGGCCAAUAAAAGAAAAAAAAGAUACAUGCUGCAGAGCCUAAUGCCAGCUUAACACCUCAUGUGACCUGGGGAUAACACACUGACUUAGAGACGCAUGAAUGACACAUGCUUGGCUGGCACAAGCAUCAUGAAACAUAAUCCCAUCAGGAAGUCCAGAGUCCAACAACAAGUGUGACAGUUAAUCAGGGUCAAAAAUGCUAUAAUUACUCACGUUCCCACCACAACAAACACUCAGUGGAAUAUUAUAUGAUUUUUUUUUACCAUUCUUUCCUUUAUUUGCUCUUCCAGCUUUCAGCAUCAUCUUGUUGAAUAUCAUUCUUUUCUUUUAAAGCUUAUUGAUCUUUUGCAGUUUCAAAAUACUUGAUGCUAAUUAAAAUAUUUGUUUAAGUGGCUGAUUAAGGUAAAGAAACUAAACAAUCCUUGAAUUUCUUAUUAGUAAUUAUUUAAAAAAAAAAAACCCACACAAACACACUACAGAAAGCAAGACAGACACCUAAAGUUCUUCCUUGGGACAAAUGGCUUAGAAACGCUUAUUUUUCAAUCCCAUAUUUUUACAACACUCAGACUAAAGACUGAAGUCUGAUUUAAGCAUAGACGGGGAUGUAUGGGUUUUGGAAAAAAGAAAAAGAAAAAAGUCAAUCAGUUCACUGGGCGUUUUACUGUUUUCACAUCGCCAACUGAUAUUAAUACAAUACAUCUCCGUUUGUACAUAGAUUUAGAAAACCCACACCCACUAUCACGUUUUUUUAAUUCCAGACUGUUGGCAUGAUUUUACUUUUGCUGCACUCUUGCCCUCACAGACAUGUUAUUGUAUCAGGUUUCUUCUACUUUCUGAACUUGAGUCUAAAUUUAGGACAGGACACUUUGCAAAGGGCAAGUGUCUCCAAAGGGACAUUAAAAUAUUAUUCCUAUCAUUUGGCACAUACUUUUUUCCCCUAAUUACCAUCUAUACAGACAAUUGUGGUUGCAAGUAUUUUACUGUGUGUAACAUACUACUGUUGACAUUAACAGCAGGAACGUAGUAACUAAAGUGUUAUUUGUGUUCAUUUGUCUCAUCACACUUGCAGUGUGCAUGCAAGCAGAACCUUUGAACAGACAAACUUCAGCGUUUAUUUAAAUAUUUACUGAGAAGUUAUCAUCGAUCAGCAGACCAGAGGCCUUUGUGGCACGGUAAAGGGCAAUAUUGUUGUUCACCCCUAUCAGCUACUGAUAUUACCGUCUAAAAUUACACAAUAACGGCUGGCUGCGUGCUUGAACAUAAGACACUGAAUCACGACAGCAGAAGCUAGUAAAACGAAACCUAGAGUUACUGCAGUGAAAGGGCAACCUAAAUACAGUUUCCCCACGUUCACAAAUCUCAGCAUUUACGAAAGCUUUAAGUUAAAUAUUUUAAUCGCAUAAACGAGUAACUGAAGACGAGUUUGUCCUCCAAGCACACCCUGAAAGGACACACCAGUGUCUCAAUUUCCACCUGGAAAUUAGCCAAUCGGCGCUCAAAGGUGGGAAGCGACAGCCAAUCAGCUCGCACGACUUUACAAACUACGACAAGUCGCUUAGCUCAAACUGUGCAACUGAAAUUAUCGCGAUGGUUUAAGUCACUCAAAAUGUUUUUAGGAGCAAGAGGCGAAAACCGUUUAUUAACAAUAAAGUUAGCUGUUUAAUACUGUAAACUUAAGCUGCUUUUGAUAACGUAACAAAUCCGGCUGGGCUUCAGUCUCCACCAUGCUCCGGUGCUAACUCACCAGCGUGACUUUCAUCAGUACCGUUAACCUCAUUAACAGCAACUCAAAGUUGUGGUAACUCAGAGUUGCCGUUUUGAGGUCAGGAUAGAGGUGAGCAAAGAGAAAGUUUGUCUUAAACAAUGGCUGUUGACCUUUCAGGCCAUCAAGUCACAAGAGGACAUCGCUAACCCUACAUAUUAGCUGCUACCUGGGAGCAGAUGCUAAACCCCGGACAACAGCAGGCCGUGUAAAAAUCCUUUGACCUCAGUCUGAGGUUAGCUGACCGGCUAUUGGGGCUACACUAACCGCAGAGCAACCAAGCUCCACCAUAAAACUCAAGGGUGAACAAAGGAGCUGCGGUUUGAUGUUAAGGGACUUCUGCAGUCAGUGCUGCUCUACAUGAAGAUGUCAGUCAUGCUUAUUUCCUUCCAGAGGCAAA